rnacentral:lncRNA from 7 species
ACUGCCCUUAAGAUAGUCUCGCACCUUUCCUAUUGUUUAAUGGGGCCACAGGAUCCAGACAAGGACAAGGCCCAUCUUCAGAAGUUCAGUUCUGACACAGAAAUGAUGCGACGGCAGGAUGAAACAUGCAGGAAUUCAGAGGAAGAUUACAAUAGACUUGUGCAAAGACCCUCACCCAUGAGGCUUUGACAUCCAUGCAAGGUCAAAGUCUCCAUGCACAGCCUUGAUAAAGCUGCUCCAACACAAUUCAAAUUGCAACGAGGUAGCCUUCAACACUGCUGUCAAGCUACACUUUACCGAUCAUGACAAAAUCAUCCAUAUGACUAAUAGAUGAAAUCCAUCCAAGACUUAGAAUUUCAUUGUUUUUAGACAGCAUAUCAGGAAUUGAAAAAGUCUUAACAAAUGAACAUGAUUUAAAGUGGCCGGAAAAUGAAAGAUGAAAUGAUACAACUAUUGGCAGCUGUUCAAAAUUAGUUCCAAGCACCAAGCUGGUAUCAGGAGAACGACGUUUUAAUCAGUGAAAAAUAAUUUUCUGUCGGGGAAAAGGUUUUGGAGAUGUAAUUACAACACUAUCCAUUUACCCUGAUAAAGGCUUCCCAAGUGAUAAGAUGCAACCUGGCAAGAAGACCUCAUUUUUCCCCGAAGCUUGAGAUUACAUCCUAACGUAGACGUUAAUGUCUAAAAAAGAUUCUUUACUGAGCUUUCUGAAUAUAAGAUUGGUUUCCCGUUGCCCUCUGAAAAAGAGACUGUAUUUUACAGCAACUGAACUUACUCCUCACCAGGGGAUGAAAAGUAAUGUGUGGGGCAAAGCACUUUGCUCAGCACAGGCAGUAUUACAGAACACUUUCUAAGCUUCACAAAAUUAAAGGUUUUAUCUCACAUAUGUUCUUAGCAAGUCUGUGGGAAGCUUGCAUUUAACUUUGAAAUAAUUAUAACAAUUAAAAGAAAAAAAGUUGAAUUUAUAUGAUCUUAGCCAUCUAGAAAUGUUCCUUAAGCAAGGUAUCUGCCUAAGUAUUGACAAAGAUAAACAGCAGUUCUCAACCACAUUUCUUCAGUAUUGUAACUCAUCAGAGUGGGUACUGUUAGCAUAACAUCUAACUAUACAGAUGCAAACACAAGGUCUUUUCUUGAAGACCUCUGAACAAAGCAGAAAAGGAAGCAAUGUAUAUUCAUUAUGCCUACUGGGACUCUGAUUCUAAAAUUCAUACCCAAAUAUUUAUUUUCAUAAUAAAAUGUAGAAGUGUGUACACAGGGAGCACCAUUACUUGCCUCUACGUACAUAAAUAUGGAGACAGACAUGAAGUUUGGUACCCUCAAGGGCCCAGCAGCUGACAGCAGCCCUACAGACAGCUUGGUUCCUUCCUGGCAUAACCACCAUCCCCAUCUGGCAGAUAAGCACCAAGUAGCCAGACAAGACAGUUAAAUCACUCCCCAGCUUCACCUCCAGGCAAACACACGUGGCUAGACCCCAUCCCUUUGCCGUGUAAAAGCAAAGUCAAUGGAGAAAUCUCAGCUAUAACCAGUCACCACAGGAGAUUUUGACUGAGAUAUAACCUGGAAGACAUCCAAGAAAGCAGUAUUAAUGGGACCAAAGUAUGUAGUGGAAGUUGGAUAGAAUCUUUCUUCUGAUCCAAAAAGAAAAAAAGUAUGGAACCUGAAGUUCACUGAAUUUGUCCUCCACUCUGCCAACAUAGGAGCACUUCUGUAAGAAGUCUACUUGUUUAGUCAGUUUGAGCGCAUUCCUUAAGAUGAGAUGCUACACGUGACACCUCACAGAAAGGCCCAGGCUGUGCUUCAAAAGAAGCAGAAGAGACUUUUUUUUCUUUUUGGAACAUAAGAACCUGAAAGCUGUCACGUAAAAUAUGUAUAAUGAUAUAUAUGUUUGUUGGUACAUAUUUAUAUAUAAACUCGUACUUUAUAUAUAAAGAUGUAGAUACUUAUCUACAUACACACACAACCCAUAAGC